CCGGGAAGAAAUCGUAUCAGCUAAUACCUGGUGCGGAUGACGGUACCGGCAUAAGAAGCACCGGCUAACUACGUGCCAGCAGCCGCGGUAAUACGUAGGGUGCGAGCGUUAAUCGGAAUUACUGGGCGUAAAGCGUGCGCAGGCGGUUUUGUAAGACAGGCGUGAAAUCCCCGGGCUCAACCUGGGAACUGCGUUUGUGACUGCAAGGCUAGAGUACGGCAGAGGGGGGUGGAAUUCCACGUGUAGCAGUGAAAUGCGUAGAGAUGUGGAGGAACACCAAUGGCGAAGGCAGCCCCCUGGGUCGAUACUGACGCUCAUGCACGAAAGCGUGGGUAGCAAACAGGAUUAGAUACCCUGGUAGUCCACGCCCUAAACGAUGGUCAACUAGGUGUUGGGUGGGUAAAACCAUUUAGUACCGGAGCUAACGCGUGAAGUUGACCGCCUGGGGAGUACGGCCGCAAGGUUAAAAACUCAAAGGAAUUGACGGGGC
rnacentral:rRNA from 1 species